rnacentral:rRNA from 1 species
CCUACGGGGGGCAGCAGUGGGGAAUAUUGCACAAUGGGCGCAAGUCUGAUGCAGCCAUGCCGCGUGUGUGAAGAAGGCCUUCGGGUUGUAAAGCACUUUCAGCGGGGAGGAAGGCGGUGAGGUUAAUAACCUCAUCGAUUGACGUUACCCGCAGAAGAAGCACCGGCUAACUCCGUGCCAGCAGCCGCGGUAAUACGGAGGGUGCAAGCGUUAAUCGGAAUUACUGGGCGUAAAGCGCACGCAGGCGGUCUGUCAAGUCGGAUGUGAAAUCCCCGGGCUCAACCUGGGAACUGCAUUCGAAACUGACAGGCUAGAGUCUUGUAGAGGGGGGUAGAAUUCCAGGUGUAGCGGUGAAAUGCGUAGAGAUCUGGAGGAAUACCGGUGGCGAAGGCGGCCCCCUGGACAAAGACUGACGCUCAGGUGCGAAAGCGUGGGGAGCAAACAGGAUUAGAUACCCCAGUAGUC